rnacentral:rRNA from 1 species
CCUACGGGUGGCAGCAGGGAGGAAUAUUGGUCAAUGGGCGCGAGCCUGAACCAGCCAAGUAGCGUGAAGGAUGACGGCCCGACGGGUUGUAAACUUCUUUUAUAAAGGAAUAAAGUGAGGCACGUGUGCCGUUUUGUAUGUACAUUAUGAAUAAGGAUCGGCUAACUCCGUGCCAGCAGCCGCGGUAAUACGGAGGAUCCGAGCGUUAUCCGGCUUUAUUGGGUUUAAAGGGAGCGUAGAGGGGUUGUUAAGUCAGUGGUGAAAGUUUGCGGCUCAACCGUACAAUUGCCUUUGAUACUGGCAGCCUUGCGUACAGUUGCGGUCGGCGGAAUUCGUGUUGUAGCGGU